rnacentral:ncRNA from 1 species
ACAGGGGAGCGCAUAUGCGCUGAGAGUGCUGAUUUCAGCAGACCCUCGAACCUGAUCCGGUUAGUGCCGGCGUAGGGAGUCGGGCU